rnacentral:rRNA from 1 species
AACGAACGCUGGCGGCAUGCCUAACACAUGCAAGUCGAACGAGACCUUCGGGUCUAGUGGCGCACGGGUGCGUAACGCGUGGGAACCUGCCCUUAGGUUCGGAAUAACUCCCCGAAAGGGGUGCUAAUACCGGAUAAUGUCUUCGGACCAAAGAUUUAUCGCCUUUGGAUGGGCCCGCGUUGGAUUAGCUAGUUGGUAGGGUAAAAGCCUACCAAGGCGACGAUCCAUAGCUGGUCUGAGAGGAUGAUCAGCCACACUGGGACUGAGACACGGCCCAGACUCCUACGGGAGGCGGCAGUGGGGAAUAUUGGACAAUGGGCGAAAGCCUGAUACAGCAAUGCCGCGUGAGUGAUGAAGGCCUUAGGGUUGUAAAGCUCUUUUACCCGGGAUGAUAAUGACAGUACCGGGAGAAUAAGCUCCGGCUAACUCCGUG